rfam:Candidatus Burkholderia pumila strain TZHbot3 BPMIctg86, whole genome shotgun sequence.
GUCGUCGUGAGGCGGGGUCUGAAGGAAGCGUGUACCAAAGCCACGACCUGACGAACAGAAACCAGGGCCUACCCGGGCGGACGAGCGAGCCCGGGCCCGGGGUGGUAGAU